rnacentral:rRNA from 1 species
UACGUAGGGGGCAAGCGUUGUCCGGAAUCAUUGGGCGUAAAGAGCGCGUAGGCGGCCCAGUAAGUCCGCUCUGAAAGUCAGGGGCUCAACCCCUGGAUGCCGGUGGAUACUGUCGGGCUAGAGUUCGGAAGAGGCAAGUGGAAUUCCUGGUGUAGCGGUGAAAUGCGCAGAUAUCAGGAGGAACACCUAUGGCGAAGGCAGCUUGCUGGGACGACACUGACGCUGAGACGCGAAAGCGUGGGGAGCAAACAGG